GUGAAGAACGCAGCGAAAUGCGAUACGUAAUGUGAAUUGCAGAAUUCAGUGAAUCAUCGAGUCUUUGAACGCACAUUGCGCCCCCUGGUAUUCCGGGGGGCAUGCCUGUCCGAGCGUCAUUGCUGCCCUCAAGCACGGCUUGUGUGUUGGGUCUCCGUCCUCCUCCCGGGGGACGGGCCCGAAAGGCAGCGGCGGCACCGCGUCCGGUCCUCGAGCGUAUGGGGCUUCGUCACCCGCUCUUGUAGGCCCGGCCGGCGCUUGCCGACACAUCAAUCUUUUUUCCAGGUUGACCUCGGAUCAGGUAGGGAUACCCGCUGAACUUAAGCAUAUCAAUAAGCGGAGGA
rnacentral:misc_RNA from 1 species